rnacentral:rRNA from 1 species
UACGAAGGACCCAAGCGUUAUCCGGAUUUAUUGGGUUUAAAGGGUGCGUAGGCGGAUUAUUAAGUCAGUGGUGAAAGCCUGCAGCUUAACUGCAGAACUGCCAUUGAUACUGAUGAUCUUGAGUAUGAUUGAGGUGGGCGGAAUGUGUCAUGUAGCGGUGAAAUGCUUAGAUAUGACACAGAACACCAAUUGCGAAGGCAGCUCGCUGGGACGUGACUGACGCUGAGACGCGAAAGCGUGGGGAGCAAACAGG